GACGAACGCUGGCGGCGUGCCUAAUACAUGCAAGUAGAACGCUGAAGGAGGAGCUUGCUUCUCCGGAUGAGUUGCGAACGGGUGAGUAACGCGUAGGUAACCUGCCUGGUAGCGGGGGAUAACUAUUGGAAACGAUAGCUAAUACCGCAUAAGAGUAGAUGUCGCAUGACAUUUGCUUAAAAGGUGCAACUGCACCACUACCAGAUGGACCUGCGUUGUAUUAGCUAGUUGGUGAGGUAACGGCUCACCAAGGAAACGAUACUUAGCCGACCUGAGAGGGGGGUCCGCCACACUGGGACCGAGACACGGCCCAGACUCCCACGGGAGGCAGCAGUAGGGAAUCUUCGGCAAUGGACGGAAGUCUGACCGAGCAACGCCGCGGGAGUGAAGAAGGUUUUCGGAUCGUAAAGCUCUGUUGUAAAAGAAGAACGAGAGUGAGAAUGGAAAGUUCACACUGUGACGGUAUCUUACCAGAAAGGGACGGCUAACUACGUG
rnacentral:rRNA from 1 species